AGUCCUGUUAAUCUGUGAUGUGAUCGCGCUGCUGGUCGUAAUGCAGAGAAAAUAUCAAAGGAAAGGCCGUUACACUGGUGGCUCAAGCCUUGGUUUGUAUCAAGGAAUUUAUGAAGAAAUUGCGGACAUUCCCCCUGUCAAGAAGACUUCUGAGAAACAUGGGUCAGCUCCAGUUCAGGACCAUUACGAUGACAUUGAGACUGAAUCUCAGGAUGGUCAGUCACAAUUGGAAAGUAAUGCUGAUGAAUCCCUCGC